rnacentral:precursor_RNA from 15 species
GGAGCGGGGCAAUGAUGCUGGCGUCGGUGCUGGGGAGCGGCCCCCGGGGUGGCCCAUCGCUCCGGCCCCUCCUAGGGCCGGCACUCUUGCUGCGGGCCGGCUCCACGUCAGCCACCGACA